ACAAAAGCUUGGUCCUGACUUUACCGUCAGCUUUAACCUGAUUUACACAUGCAAGUAUCCGCACCCCUGUGAGAAUGCCCUCAUUC
rnacentral:rRNA from 1 species